rnacentral:rRNA from 1 species
CUUGAACGCUGGCGGCAGGCCUACAACCUGCAAGACGAACGAGUGGCGGACGGGUGAGUAAUGUCUGGGAAACUGCCCGAUGGAGGGGGAUCACUACUGGAAACGGUAGCUAAUACCGCAUACCAUCGGAUGUGCCCAGAUGGGAUUAGCUAGUAGGUGGGGUAACGGAUCACCUAGGGGACGAUCCCUAGCUGGUCUGAGAGGAUGACCAGCCACACUGGAACUGAGACACGGUCCAGACUCCUACGGGAGGCAGCAGUUGGUAAUAUUGCACAAUGGGCGCAAGCCUGAUGCAGCCAUUCCGCGUGUAUGAAGAAGGCCGUCGGGUUGUAAAGUACGGUCAGCGAGGAGGCUUUACUCGCAGAAGAAGCACCGGCUAACUCCGUGCCAGCAGCCGCGGUAAUUC